AGAGUUUGAUCCCGGCUCAGAAUGAACGCUGGCGGCGCGCCUAACACAUGCAAGUCGAACGACUCAGGGUUUUCGGACUCUGAUUAACCUGGCGGACGGGUGAGUAACGCGUGGGUAAUAUGCCCUUUAGUGGGGGAUAACCCGUGGAAACGCGGGGGAAUACCGCAUAAUGCCGCAAGGGAUACCUUGCGGGGAAAGGCUUCSGUCGCUGAAGGAGUAGCCCGCGUCCGAUUAGCUAGUUGGUGAGGUAWGGGCUCACCAAGGCCACGAUCGGUASCCGGUCUGAGAGGAUGAACGGCCACACUGGGACUGAGACACG
rnacentral:rRNA from 1 species